rnacentral:rRNA from 1 species
GCCGGCAACUAGCUCUCUGCAACUCUCACAUGGUCACUCACUGAAGCUAAGCAGGGCUGCGCCCGGUCAGUACCUGGAUGGGAAACCACAUGGGAAAGCUAGGUUGCUGCCGGAA